UCUGAUGGAGCACGCCGCGUGAGUGAAGAAGGUUUUCGGAUCGUAAAGCUCUGUUGUUGGUGAAGAAGGAUAGAGGUAGUAACUGGCCUUUAUUUGACGGUAAUCAACCAGAAAGUCACGGCUAACUACGUGCCAGCAGCCGCGGUAAUA
rnacentral:rRNA from 1 species